AAAGUUUUAAGUUAAAUUUAAACUAAUAAUUUUCAAAAUUAUAAAUAAAAAAUCUUUUUAAACUUUA
rnacentral:tRNA from 1 species